rnacentral:lncRNA from 1 species
CUCAUCUCAUCUAUUCAUCUCCACCUGCACCAAAACACACUGACAACAUGAAGGCCCUCUUCCUCAUAGGACUGCUUGCUCUGGUAGCGAGCACCGCCUUUGCGCAAUAUAGCGAAGUUGUUGGCAGUUACGAUGUUGCUGGCGGGGGUGGUGCUCAACAAUGCCCUGUAGAGACAAAGCUAAAUUCAUGCAGGAAUUACCUGCUAGAUCGAUGCUCAACGAUGAAGGAUUUCCCGGUCACCUGGCGUUGGUGGAAAUGGUGGAAGGGAGGUUGUCAAGAGCUCCUUGGGGAGUGUUGCAGUCGGCUCGGCCAAAUGCCACCGCAAUGCCGCUGCAACAUCAUCCAGGGGUCAAUCCAAGGCGAUCUCGGUGGCAUCUUCGGAUUUCAGCGUGAUCGGGCAAGCAAAGUGAUACAAGAAGCCAAGAACCUGCCGCCCAGGUGCAACCAGGGCCCUCCCUGCAACAUCCCCGGCACUAUUGGCUAUUACUGGUGAUGUAGCUUCCAUUUAUGACUAGCUAAUAAACUGUCACAUACCACUGCGUGUGACAAAUAAAAGUGGUCAUGGAAUAAUUUAUGAAUAAAAUUUCAGCAUGUGCCUGCGCGAGGUGUCUAUAGCAAACAUUUCAGUAUGCCUAUAUAUGUUAAUCAAGAUAGCAAUGUUCACAUACACCCAGAAUAAUAGUUUGUGUAAUUAGUUGUGUAUGUUCUUGGUGGUGGUUUGUGUACAGAUUUGCCUUCCUUCUAACAAAAUAUGAAUACAUGGAGCUGUUCAAGCCUUAAACAUGGAAGAUAAGAGAAUGAAACGAGCCAUCCAAUUAAAUUACUAUGAGUUUGCCGUGAGGAUACCAUUGUUAGUUCAACAAAUGACUUAAAAUAAUUCCAUUUUAU